GGGAUAUAGCUCAGUUGGUAGAGUGCUUGCCUUGCAUGCACAAGGCCCUGGGUUCAAUCCCCAGUACCGCCC
rnacentral:tRNA from 1 species